CAAUAACCGACGAGAUGCCAAUAAACGCAGUGUUCUGAUUGGCACACAGUGAAUUUGGAAGCUUGCCAGUGUUGCGUGGGUUUCAUCUAAAGCACAGAACCUAAAGCUCUAUCCCUAAAGUCUAAAGCCAAUCUUCAGCGACAGUGCAAUUUUCGUUAUUGCUGAUUCCUGAUUUCGUUUGGCAAACGGUUUGUAACUUAUAUUCGAAGAGACAGCUUCAAACGAUAACGCUAGAAGUCGUGCACAUGUGACAUGCUUUAGAGUGUCUGGCGGCUGGCGGUAAUGCCGUAUAAUAUGCCAACAACAUGGAUUCGCAACGUUCAAUUAGUGCAAUUACCAAUUACAGAAGCCAGACG